AAGUCGUAACAAGGUUUCCGUAGGUGAACCUGCGGAAGGAUCAUUAACACGUAUCCAACGUUAAAACAACCCCCGUGAACUUUCAGCUUGCUCCUGUAGCCCGUGAAAACAGCACUGGUAAAUCAUUGUUGACCAGCUUUUGAGUCAGGGACCUCUGCCGAUUGUGAUAUUUUAUAGCUACGUGGGCGAUUGCAUCUAGUGACCUGGCAUCCCCAAGCCCACACGGCCGGCGACCGGGUCACCGGGCUCUGCCCCUUUACGACAACACAGUACGAAUUGGCCGCGCGUGAAAUUCGCACGGCACCAAAAACCGAACAACUGUUAACAAUGGAUAUCUUGGUUCUC
rnacentral:misc_RNA from 1 species